UGGGGAAUAUUGCACAAUGGGCGAAAGCCUGAUGCAGCGACGCCGCGUGGGGGAUGAAGGCUUUCGGGUUGUAAACCUCUUUCGCUAUCGAACAAGGCCCGCUUAGGGUGGGUUGAGGGUAGGUGGAGAAGAAGCGCCGGCUAACUACGUGCCAGCAGCCGCGGUAAUACGUAGGGCGCGAGCGUUGUCCGGAAUUAUUGGGCGUAAAGGGCUUGUAGGCGGCUUGUUGCGCCUGCUGUGAAAACGCGGGGCUUAACUUCGCGCGUGCAGUGGGUACGGGCAGGCUUGAGUGUGGUAGGGGUGACUGGAAUUCCAGGUGUAGCGGUGGAAUGCGCAGAUAUCUGGAGGAACACCGAUGGCGAAGGCAGGUCACUGGCCAUUACUGACGCUGAGGAGCGAAAGCAUGGGUAGCGAACAGG
rnacentral:rRNA from 1 species